GGGCCCGCACAAGCGGUGGAGCAUGUGGUUUAAUUCGAUGCAACGCGAAGAACCUUACCUACUCUUGACAUCCAGAGAAGCCAGCGGAGACGCAGGUGUGCCUUCGGGAGCUCUGAGACAGGUGCUGCAUGGCUGUCGUCAGCUCGUGUUGUGAAAUGUUGGUUAAGUCCCGCAACGAGCGCAACCCUUAUCCUUGUUUGCCAGCACGUAAUGGUGGGAACUCCAGGGAGACUGCCGGUGAUAAACCGGAGGAAGGUGGGGACGACGUCAAGUCAUCAUGGCCCUUACGAGUAGGGCUACACACGUGCUACAAUGGCGCAUACAGAGGGCAGCAAGCUAGCGAUAGUAAG
rnacentral:rRNA from 1 species